GCUGUAGGUUUCGACCAAUCGAUAAACAGGGCGUGUCAAUUUCAGUCCUGACAGCUUCAGCCGCUGUGGAUUUCGACCAAUCGAUGAACUGGGCGUGUAGAUAGUAAACGAAGAAAGAGAAAAUGAGAACUCCAUCCUUUUUGUCCAGAAUUUUUUGCUGAAUGAUUUUCCAUCAAAGAUCGAAGUAGUUUUUUCAUGGCCGUGUGAUUGCGCGUUUCUGAUUCCACUCAAAGACAGACAUUUCCACUUACACUGAAUUAUAUUUAAUUCAACGCCUAAAUACCUGAACCAAUGAAUUAGUUUUGUUCACGUAUUGCUGGUUUUUUGCUUGACAAAAAAUUAAAAGAUGCGACACACUG